rnacentral:rRNA from 1 species
CUUCCGUAGGUGAACCUGCGGAAGGAUCAUUACCGUGGGGGCCCCUCUAGGGGCCCCUGCCGAGAUAGAACCCUCUGAAUUUUCGAGCACCCACUGUUUCCUCGGCGGGCCCGCCCGCCAACGGGGACCAAACCAAAACCGUAAACCGCAGUACAGUAGUGAAAAACGUACCAAAAACAAAUCAAUCAAAACUUUCAACAACGGAUCUCUUGGUUCUGGCAUCGAUGAAGAACGCAGCGAAAUGCGAUAAGUAGUGUGAAUUGCAGAAUUCCGUGAAUCAUCGAAUCUUUGAACGCACAUUGCGCCCUUUGGUAUUCCUUAGGGCAUGCCUGUUCGAGCGUCAUAUAACCCCUCAAGCAUAGCUUGUUGUUGGGCGCUUGUCCUCCCCUGGUGGAGGACUCGCCUCGAAUCGAUUGGCGGCCCACGCGGAGGGCUAUCGAGCGCAGCAGACUCGCGCCUCAAACCCCCCGCGCCGGCGUCCACUGAGCACACAACCACUUUGACCUCGGAUCAGGUAGGGAUACCCGCUGAACUUAAGCAUAUCAAUAAGCGGAGGAA